CAGUCGGGAAUUUUGGGCAAUGGGCGAAAGCCUGACCCAGCAACGCCGCGUAAAGGAUGAAAUUUUUCGGAAUGUAAACUUCGCAAGAACGGGAAGAAUAAGUGGGGGACAAUACCCCCCAUGAUGACGGUACCGUUUGUAAGCUCCGGCUAACUCCGUGCCAGCAACCGCGGUAAUACGGGGGGAGCAAGCGUUGUUCGGAUUUACUGGGCGUAAAGGGCGCGUAGGCGGUCGUGACAAGUCACUUGUGAAAUCUCCGGGUUUAACUCGGAACGGUCAAGUGAUACUGUCGGACUAGAGUACAGAAGGGGCAACUGGAAUUCUCGGUGUAGCGGUGAAAUGCGUAGAUAUCGAGAGGAACACCUGCGGCGAAGGCGGGUUGCUGGGCUGAUACUGACGCUCAGGCGCGAAAGCCAGGGGACGA
rnacentral:rRNA from 1 species